rnacentral:rRNA from 1 species
UACGGAGGGUGCAAGCGUUGUCCGGAAUCACUGGGUGUAAAGGGUGUGUAGGCGGGCCAGCAAGUCAGAGGUGAAAUCCCACAGCUUAACUGUGGAACUGCCUUUGAUACUGUUGGCCUUGAAUCUCGGAGGGGUUACUAGAAUUCGUGGUGUAGCGGUGAAAUGCGUAGAUAUCACGAGGAAUACCAGAGGCGUAGGCG